GAUGAACGCUGGCGGCGUGCCUAAUACAUGCAAGUCGAGCGAACAGACGAGGAGCUUGCUCCUCUGACGUUAGCGGCGGAAGGGUGAGUAACACGUGGAUAACCUACCUAUAAGACUGGGAUAACUUCGGGAAACCGGAGCUAAUACCGGAUAAUAUAUUGAACCGCAUGGUUCAAUAGUGAAAGACGGUUUUGCUGUCACUUAUAGAUGGAUCCGCGCCGCAUUAGCUAGUUGGUAAGGUAACGGCUUACCAAGGCAACGAUGCGUAGCCGACCUGAGAGGGGGAUCGGCCACACUGGAACUGAGACACGGUCCAGACUCCUACGGGAGGCAGCAGUAGGGAAUCUUCCGCAAUGGGCGAAAGCCUGACGGAGCAACGCCGCGUGAGUGAUGAAAGUCUUCGGAUCGUAAAACUCUGUUAUUAGGGAAGAACAAAUGUGUAAGUAACUAUGCACGUCUUGACGGUACCUAAUCAGAAAGCCACGGCUAACUACGUG
rnacentral:rRNA from 1 species